CGACUGUUGUGCUGUUGUGGCAGCCAGCACUCUAAGUGCGGCACAGCGAGCGAGCGCGAACAUGCAACACGACUAGUAUGCUCUCGAGCUCGGUAAUGCGCACAUCAUGGACGAGAGUGGGCGCGCAAGGCACAGGCAAAGGCAAAGGCACAGGCAGCAGGCGACAUGCGGCAGGCGAGCGACCCCAGUCGGCGGGCGGGCGCACGGAACAGGUUGCCUGGCGGCAGGGUGGGAUGGAUGUGGUGUCGUCUUCAGCUUCGUCUUCGUCUUCGAUUGUGGACUGACAACAGGAGGAAGUGAUAGAUAUCGUAUGUAGCAUGUGAAUCGAAAAGUGCGUGCCCCUGAUUGGGCCAAGGCCCCAAGGCCCUCAGGUCUCUGCCAUUAGGUUCUCGACAUGUUUACCUACCAGCGACUGAUGGCUUCAAGCAUUCACCUUUGUCCAAGCCACUGCCCGUUGCCCGCUGCUGCCACAAAGUGACAAAGUACUACGCAACAAAAACUAUUUGAGUGUUAAAGUUUACUGUCACGUGCUUUUCAGCGUCCCAGCGGCAGUGCUGUGGCAUAACGCUUCGACCUCCCUCGUGUACGAGUUUUUGGAAGCAUUACAAGUGACCCGUCAGCAUGGACUUUGCAGCCCGGCAACCCCGCACCCAACACUACUGGCCAGAAGAAGACUGUUUACAGUCGCGUCUUGAAAAUUGUCAGGUAAAUAAUUUGUUGCCUAUGGCCAAGAAAUUUCAGUUGUACGCAGAGACAUUUAUAAUGCUAAUUAAGGCAUAGAAAAAAUGACUAAGAAUCAAUGGGUUGCACGUGCACUUGCAUUCGUUUGAUAUUAAAAUAUUUGAUUAAAUAAUAUUUCAUACUUAAAGCAAAUAUUUUGAUGUUUAAAUUAAAUAUUUUCAUAUUUUUCCAGAUUUAAUUUAUUUUAUUUCCAAUAAAUAUGAAAAUUAGUAUGCAAUUUUUUAUUUUUCACCGCUUUCUCGAGUUCUCAACUUGAAUAUAUGUACAUAUUUCAGCCCCACUUUUCUGCCAAAAUAAUCCACUCAAAUUUGUAACUGCGUUCGUCUGCGCUUUGCAGUCAGAACUUAACGAGUAAACACAAGUAUUCUGCCGCUAUUGAAUUGAUUUGGAGUAUAGAAAAAAAGUGAGGCAGUUCCAUUCAAUGGGUUUUUGCACAGACCUUCUCCAGCUCCCAAGAGUUUUCUCCUGUUAAUGUUAUGAUGGAAGACCAGGCUAGUAUCGUCGCGUCGCGUGUCUGGGACCAUAAACAGAAAUUGUUUCGCAAAACGCCUCCGUCGCUUUUGCAAAAAUAAUGCAACAGCAAAGAGAAAAAAAAGAAGCAAGCGAAAAAAAUUAUCAUGAGCUAAAUAAUCAUAUUCAUAAAUGUACUUUUUUCAUUUUUUUUUUGUUCCUCGCCGCCGCCUCUCGGCCACCCUUAGUCUAGGCAGUUAUUCAUCAGCGCAUCAAACUCGACUCGUACUCGACUCCGUACUAUAUAUGUGUGUAUAAGAAAGAGUUCGUUCGUGGCGUCGAUGAUACAACCGAUAAGGGACCAAUUUUUGCAAUUGCAGCGCUGGAAUUUUUAAUUAGUUCAAGAAAGCCGCAGCCGGCGAGGAAGCGGCAGCCACUCACCGUCUUGUUAUGGUCAGAAUGAAAAGGCAGAGAACGAAAUAAUAUCUUCUGAAGCGCACACGUAAGCUAAAAAUUAGCAUACACUGUUGCCACAGUACUCCACGAAGUAGCCCAUAAAAUGUAUUAAGUUAAAGUAUGUGUUAAGUGCACACCACACACACCACAAGUCACAUGAAUGUCGAUAAAACCUGCCGAUAUUUGCCAUUUCUCUUGCCAAGCUCUUUCCUUUUGCCACUGUGAAUAGUUAUUUGGUGUCUUAAAUAAGACAUAAUUUCUAUUUGUUUUUCUAUUACAAAUAGUCAUGGCAUAAGGCGUGUUCGAUUGCAUUGUAUUAGCGCUAGUCAACGGCUGGGUAGGCUGCGGUAGUCUGCGGUUAAGAAAAAUUGGCGGCAGCAGCCGACGAAGUAUGGAAUAAUUAAAAACAAUUCAAUUCGCAAUUUGCACCAUAAUAAAAAUAAAUUACAUAUUCAUUUAUGCUGAAUAUAACCGCUAAACUGCAACUGCAACACCGCAGAUCUCUGCAACGGGCCUGGGCCUGGGCCUGGGCCUCGGUCUGGCCACAUGCAACCACCGACCGACCGGCCGGAUUGCAACCAAGUGCAGUGGUGCAAGAAGUUGGACCUACAUGAAGGGUCAUUGCCUGCUUUUGGGUGUGGGAACUGCCAUGCUCGUAUAUUACAUAGUCGAUUGAUUGUUUUUCCUUGGAAACAUCAGCAAGAAAACUAAUUGAAAUGGGCUCCUCCCAUUAAAACUUUUUAAUGCUAGAAAAUAAAUCCAAUUUCCCGCAGCCAAGUGGUUGAUUUUGGGUCAGUUUUUGCGUAUCUUAAAUAUGCGAAAUAUGAAUAUUCCACCUCAAAUCAGAGGAGCCGCCCCAGUCUGUUAACAUGCAACACACUCGGAGGUUUCGUGUUCAGCUGAAAUAGAAUUUUCCAUCCAUCCUUUUCCUACACAUCGCACUGUGAUGUGCUGUGAAGUUUUAUUUUUCCAGCAACAAUACUUUCAGCGAAGUGCAUUUUUAUGAACAGCGGCACGCACUUGCUCAUUUCUUUUAAACAAACCUGAUUAAGAGUGUAAAUUAUUGCGAAAGUUUGCAAAUUUGUACAUGAACAUAUUUAUCAAAAUAAAAACAGCUUUCAAACCCUUCUCACAAUUAAAGCAGUAAGGAAAAACUAGUCUAACAUUGAUUCUCAUAAGGGGGAAAUUAUACUAUUUAAAUUGGAAACAUCGGAGUGUGUUUGCACCUUUAAAUAUUGCUCGUACUUCGAUGAGUCUCGCGUCUCUUACAAGAGCGUACAAUUUUAAUUAAAACCGACCAGCAGUGUCACUCACUGACAAAACCGACAAAACAAAAAAAGGAAAGGAAAGAUCAGCUGAGAAACAGGUUUAUUUUGUUUCUCUCUUUUUUAAGGAAUGAACCUCAUUCACGGGAGCGUUCCCUACACUGUUGUUUUAAGUGUUCGUGACAGCGAUUAAGCUGCUCAUUCGGUUGGCACGCUUUUUGUGGCUGCCACAGCCACAUCAGAGCCCCCUACUGUUAUUAUAAAAUACCAGACUCCAAUUGCAGGAAGUCCAUUUUUUCUAGCCAAAUUCCUAUAUAAUGUCUAUAUUAUCAGCCUUUACAUGAAUAUCCACACAAGUUGUAUACAAAAUAUAACACAUAAUAGCGCUGAAAGUUAGAGAAGUGUUUCAGUUUGAACUCCUUAAUUUUCUGCCCUAAAUGCAGCAUGUGCUGUAGUCGGCUAUUUGCCAGAAUUAAAUUCAAUCACCUCUCAUGUCCUGCUGCUGGUCAGGUGGAGGGGAAGGGACCGCAAAGUUCGUCUGGCGUAGGCGGAUGAAGAAUAUUGAAUUUUUUAAAAUGUGAAAAAAAAAUGUGAUUCUGCUUUCAUGUGACUGUUGGUUUAUCGGAGGUGGCAACACUCCACUCCACUCCAGUUGCCCCCUUUUUACAUUGUGUACUGUCGUCCAUGAAGUGCAACCUUUUAUUUAAAUGUUAACAAUAAAAAUGUAUUUGCAUUUAUCGAUUUCCCCUUUUGAGGCUGUCGCCGAAGAGGAAAACAAAAUUAAAAGAGGUCAUAUCCAAUAUUCACGUCGCGAAUCAGUAAAUCCCAAUGAAAAUUGGCUAGACUUCUGCUUGGAAAUAAAGUGAAUCCACAGGAUUGUUCUUUGUGUGGGUUUGGUGCUAUAAAUAAUAAUAGAAAAUCAUUCGUAAGACUAUUUCGUUGAGAGCCAGUGUUUUCGCCAUAACUGCAUAAUUUUUAAUAUAUUUUAGACUAAAACAUUUCGUAAUUUAUGAACCGUUUAAUGUUUAUAUCAAGCGAGAAUACACACAACUUUGACCAUUUAAUGAGCCUGUUGUACACACUAAUAUACGAGUAGUUGGCAUUUCAAAUUCAAGAUACCUGAACUUCAAAGGGGCACUUGCCCCAAACAUAGACACAGCCACAGACAAUAAUAAAGAGCGAAGAGCUCUAUGUAUUGUACAUAGAUUGUACACACAUAUAGCAACGUAACCGUUUGUUAAGCCUUUGUCUAGCAGCCAUUUUAAGGGCUAUAAAAAACUCGAAAAGUUGUAGGAACAAUGUAGACAGCGUGUUUUCAUUUUAUGCGAAUUAAGCUGCCACUUGAACAACUUACUUUUGCCUCCACCAGCGAGACUCCAGACUGAACUGGACCGCCGGGACGACGACACUGACACGGCAACAGUCCAAGGAUCGCACACACACAAGGGGCAUGCUCGGGGCAUGUGUGGACACUAGAGAUGGGCCAGAGAAUUUCUAGAUUUUAUAUGAAUAAUAUUAACUGAAUAGUUUUAAUAAUAUUUAUUGAAUAAUAAUGCAAUUUACACGCGUAAACGUUGACCUAACCAGAAUGUCAAUUAUAAUAUAAAUCCUUGUAGAAUUUACAAAUAUUGUGGUAUACUUUUAGGAUGCUUUAAGGACACGUACCGCUUGCAUGUGCUACAGGGCAUCAAAGAGGACAUCGCCGACAGCACACAAGGGAUACAGUUGUUAACGUAUACAAGGGGUAGGCGUCGACGACGACGACGACGACGACGAGGACAAACAUGCCAACCGAGCAACGGGAAGGGUUGGCCUACUACGCCUCCGCCUCCGCUCGACUGCAGUUGAAGGAAUGGCAAGGAAAGGAGCACUUUAUGUGCAUAUAAUAUCUGAAUGUUCGCCGUACCACAUACGACCCAGAGGCAGAGCCACAGCCAUAGCCAGGGCCAGACACAUGUAUACGUAGGACACAGUGUCAUCCAAGUUGCGGGGAAUUGUUAAUAUUGUCUGUGCGCCUGUAAGCAGCAUUUACAUGCUGGCCGACACCACGUACUACUAGGACGUCGAAGUCCUGGCUGAUAGAAGAGCUCUCAUGUGUGGAUGGGCCCCGCUCGGGCUUUAAGUAGGCGCACUCUCUGGCAACAGACUUUGUUUUAACAACAACAAAAAAAGAAGAUAAAUCUACAGACAUGCAUAUAUUUCGCAGAUGCUGAAUCAACUUAUGAAGCUGGCCGGCGCUUUCAUUAGAUGCAAAAAGGAUGAAUCUAGUGCAGAACUUUGUCUGGGUGAGUACUUUCAUGUACAUACAUUUCUCCCACAUAUGUCUGCCAUUGUGUGGUGUAAUUAACAAACACUGAACAUCACUACUGAAAGGGUUACUCUGGCUUUGGGUUCGAAGUUAUUAAGAGACUCCCUUUAACUCCCUUUAAAUCCCAGCUUAAAGUGUUAGCCCUGCUUGGGGUCUGAGCUCUCAAUAAUCGAUUGGAUUCGCUGCUGGAAACAUCUUAGGUAUACAAAAUAAUGAUGCGAAAGUAAAUGAGAUGUGUGCUAUUGAAUUCAACCUGGCAUGGGAUGCAUGGGAAAUGAUACACGCACAUACCCAAACGGAGUACAUAUGUACUCUGUGGCUGAUGUAUUCGCACAUGUGUGCUGGCUGGCUCCUGCUCCUACUCCUACUCCUCCUACUCCUCCUACUCCUGUAAGUAACGAACACACAUGGCUAGCGAGCACUCAUUUACCGCCUACUGUCGCUACACACUGCCGGGAGUCAUUCGUCAGUCAAUCCGUCGUCGUUCGGCAUCCUCUCCAGCGACCCGGGUUCCGCCAUCCGUGUUCCAUCCGGGCGGCGUAACCAGCGCACAUUCGUCAGAAUUUGCAUUUCAAUUCGAAUGUCAGGAUGACGGAGCGUCGAAUUUGGGUGGCAGAGUGUGUGUGUGUGUGUGUGUGGCAUCGGAAUGAAAAUAAAUCACGCUGCUUUACCGCAUAGGCAACUUGGGGCAUGGCAUGGAGUGAGUGGGGGAGCAACGCAGACGCACCACAAGGGGGCGAAACAGAGCCACCAUUAAGCCAAAACAGUGCCUGGGGGCGGGCCACGGGCUUGAGGGAACGAGUCCCCCAUUCGAACUCAUUUAUUCGCAUUUUUUGCCAAGAAUGAAUGUGGAAACUUUUUUCGCCAUCAUUUUGAGUGAUGUCAAUUAGAUUGAUUUGAUCAGCGAAAAUAUGUGAUUUAUCAGACAGCAACAGUGGCUGGGCGGCACCAAGGAUACAGGAUACAGGCUACAGGCACCAGGACAUUCAUCGUUCCAUCUCCAUUGCUCCCUGAAGCUGAGUUGGGAUGCGUAUGAAUAUCUAAUGUGGCAUACAAGUCCCCGUACGCAUUCAGCUUCGUCAUUCAUUCGUUCGUUCGUUCGUCUAUGUAUUGGAUUUAUGUUUGUAUGUUUUUGUAUGUACUUCAUCAAUCAGUCAUCUAACUAUUUGCAAAGUCUUAGUCAAUAGAACAAAGCAUUCAACUUUAAGGGCAGGACACUGCAGAAAUGCUGGAAAAGUUGAAUGACAAUUUAAUUUCGUAGUUAAACCUACGAAAAUUCACUCUCAACUUAUUACUUUUUGCUCUAAAAAUCUACGAAGAACUUCCUAAGUCUUUGGACCAUCGAAAUGUGUUGUUGUUUGAGUGAUUAGACCCAGAAAAUCUCACAAUUAGUUAAACAAGCGAAACUAUUUGCACAGAAAACAAACCGCACACCCCCCCAAAUUUCCCAGUUAUAACUUAUGUCUGCUUACUCCUCCUCCUCCUGCUCCUCGUAGUAUAACUAUCGUAUUAAGGGAUAUUUGAUUAACCGCUCUCUGCGUGGCAUUGUUUGUGGGAAUAUAAUGAAUCCGGGGCCAUAUCCCUGCCCCUGCCACACACGUUACUAGCUACGCCUACAAUAUUAAUAAAGCAUUCUGCGCGGUGGAGAGUGGCGUGGCAGCACCACUUGCGGGUGCCAUGGAAAGCAAAUAAAAUAAAUCAAAUCGGGAAAUGGAAACGGGGAAUGGGCAUGGGCAUGGAAGGAAAAAGAAAAUCGCAGAUCCUGAAUCAAGGCAAGUGUGUAAUAGGGGCUGGGGGCCGCUGCUAACGAAAACAAAAGGGGAGCCCCCCGUGUUUGGCAACCAAAAUUUAUGCGCGCUCUCUUUGGCCCAGGCCGCUCCCACGCAAUGUUACCCCAAAUUUUGCCCAGAUGGGGAAAGGACGCAGGACGCUGGUUCUGUGGUUGCGCGUUGGUCCUGUUCUUCGGGGGUGGCUACAUGUGUCAAUAACUCAUUUUCAAAUGGAAAUAACAUCAAAUAAAAUUCGCGCUACUGUGUCCCCCUGCCCUGCCCUCCGGACUGCCACUUCCAUGUGUGUCAAUCCAUUCUGUUGUCGUUGGUCUUGGUUGGGCAAUGGCUGGCCCCUGUGACUGAUGAAAUAUCGUGACAAGCAGUAUAAAAGCCAUUAAAGUCGAGUGUAGAUGGCGCUACUUGAAUUUGUCAAAAUGUCUUUUUACGCGCUUGAGGCGCAGCAGGCACAGACAGCGAGACAGUCAGACAGUCAGACCCAUAGCCAAAACAGAAAAUACUACACACGCCUAGACCCAAACCCAAACCCAGAGCCAGAGUCGUUUCUACAGGUUCGUGUGACCCCCCAACCCCAAUCCCCAUAAGUCAUAGGAACGGGUGAAACUUUGAUUGAUGUCGAUGUGUCACGCAGGCGCGCAUGUGGCUAAUGGGCGGUUGCCGUUGCUGCCAUUGUGGCACUCCAAUGUUCGAUGUUUCAAGGUGGGGGGAAUCAUUUGAAUGAUGUUGCCAAUUGGGCGCAGUUUGAACUUUUGGGAGAACUCUGAGAGGAGCUAUCUUAGCGAAUUCUAGAGCAAAAACUGACUCAAGCUCCAGCUCUACUUUAUGCGGACAUAACAAGUUCGGUUUUGGCAGCAAGACCAAGGGGGGAAAGGGGAGCGGGACACCCGUGAAGUACGAGUAAUGUCCCGCUGUUGUUCAAGAGGCGUCUGUCCACAAAUAAACGGCGCCCUGACCGAUGCGCGCGCCCCAAAUGCAUCAAAGUAACGAGCUCAAGCUGCGCGCCACAUCCAGCCACCAUCCACCAGCCUCCCGUCAUCUCGCCUGGAGAUGUCCCCUCUGCAAGUCGUAUGGUGGGGAGACUGGCGCCCACAGUUGUGAUAUAUGAAAUUAACUUAAUAAAGCAAUGAAAUAUCGUCCGUGAAUGAAACGCGAUUCCAAGAGGCCGAAUGCGAUCAGCAGGCGCUUUGUGCCUUGCUGCGACUGCAUAAAUUGUGGCACUUUAGGGGCCAUCGCAGCUAACGCCGAGAUGUGCAACGCCCUGUGCAACACCUCAGGUGUCUGUUGGGCUUCUUUUUUGUUUGCCAGAGUAUCCGGUGACUAAUUGCGCUUUUAAAUUGGAGCCGAUGGGAGCACAGGAAAAAAAGAGAACUACUAAUCAGACUUUAUUGGAGUAUAAAAAUCUGAUGGGAAUUAGUGCUGUCUUUUAUGCCUAUAAUUCGGUUUUAGUUAAGUCUCUUUGGCUGAUUUCUAGACGCUAUUUCGCACCACUCUAAUGCCAAAUUCCCCUUUGAAACUUCAGUUGGCGAAUUGCAUUCUCAAUGGAAUUAAAAGUGGGGAUGGAGGAGCGAAUGGUACUGGUCAUCACGGUGUGGGUGGCCAAAGGCUUCUUCCUUCUAUGCCAUUGUGUGGCGCCCAUUGUUUGGGGCGCUGCCAUUGUCUGGAGUAAAUUAAGCAAAACUUUGCAUGGGUGGCUGGCCCCCCCCCCCCCCAUGCAUAGUUUUGCACCCAAGCAAGUCAAUUCAUUCAGGAGUGUGUGGCAUGUGGCAGCUCCCACCUUAUCUGCAUGUGUCCUGCCAGGCAGAGCGGCUGUACAGAAAACUCCUUCCACUUUGCUCUCUCUCUCUCUCUCUCUCUGCUGGUCUUAACUUUUCACUCUAAGCCCGCCGCCAGCGAGCAUCACGCAAUAAAUUACGUUAAAGACGCCAGACCCAGACCCAAACCCAGACCCAAGGCCCGAAAAUUUGCAUUCCACACACCACACCAUGCCACCAUGCCACCCCUUCGAGAGCGGCACACGCAUCAUCAUAAUUAAUAAGAGACAAUUUGACAAUGGCCCUUUAGCGUUAACAGCGAUAUCAUUUUCAACUGUACAAACUGAGCGGCGAUGUGAGCAUCCACACUGCAAACACACACCGAGACAACACAGAGACAAGUCAGAGUAACACCCCCUUUGCCAUUUUGCGCCAAAUUAAAUUCAACCUCAAUUGAGGGGUUAAUUUCUAUCACCACGCAAACAAAACAAAAACGAAACGCCCAGCCCAGCGCAGACCAGACGUACGUGGUGGGGUGGCUGCGAAUGGGGGCGAGCGAGUGCGGAUCCGGAUCCGGAUGCGACCAUCAAGAGGGGUGAAAUAUCUACCAAGAGAGAGAGAGAGAGAGAGGAUAAGAGAGUGGGAGAGGUGUGGGAGCGUGGGUGUCGCAACCAUUAUCUGCAUCGAGUUCCACAUAGAAAAUCAUUACGCCAUUCGCACCAUGAGACGUAUUCAAUUUGAGUGUCGUUGAGCUCUUUAUUACGUUAGUGUGAAAGUCGCGUGCACCAAAAACCCCCAAUAGCCGCCCGGCGGCAUACACCGAAGGGCAUCCCCUGAUGCUCCGGCCUGGCCUGGCCUGGCCUGGCCUCAGCCUGGACCCGGGUAAGCUUCCCCCCCGGCCAAGGCACCACACCAACAGCGCAUUCAUUCACGGUGCGUAAGUCACAGCAAAGCAGCAGCAGCCAGAGCAGCGGCAGGAGGAAGUGGAAGUGGAAGUGGAAGUGGCUAUGGAAGUGGAAGUAAAUUGAAAGCAUGCUGCGAAGCGGUCUCAACCCUAACCCUUCAAUUGGUAGCGUCAGUGGCAGCGGCAGCGGCAGCCACGAAAUCCAUUAGCAGGCAGCGUGCGGCGAACGGCAAAAGGCAAAGGCAAAGGGACUACAGAAGGCUACAGGCUACAGGCUACAGGCUAGAGGAACGAACGGUGACCAUGAGGCUUUUAUGCAGAAAGCGUACUGCUCCGUUUUCGGUUAACCAUGGGCAUGCCCCGGCACUACUCAAUCUCAACGAGACUCAUAAACAUAUGCGCCUCACGUCGUUUGGCGCAAAUUUAAUGUGGCCGAUGGUAGACGUAGACGACGACGACGACGACGACGACGACACCCCCCGACCCAUGGCACGCCCCAUCCGACAGACGGUUAGCUAGCUGUUCUUUGAUGAGGUUACUGACUUUGGCGAAUUAACUCCCACUGCCACCACCCACUCCAGCACAGGCAGGACGAACGGCUCGGGUUGGGUCGCUGGCGAACCGGAAACCACUGCAUUUUGUUGGCCCGAAAACCGGGGUGGCACGCUUCAACGCCUCAGAAAAUCUCUUGGGACAUUUUAGAAAUACAAUGCAGCAUUUAGAUAAACAGAAACUUUAGAGCUCUUACGACUUUCGACCCUUAAUAAGUGUGCGCACACCAGGGCAUACCAAGGGGCACAGGAGUUGGAAAUCAAUCCUUCUACGUGGAGUUAUUUUUUGAGACUUUAUAAUUUGGUUACCCAGUUUACCCUGUUUUUCUAUGCAUAUUUCUCUUGGUUUUCUAGCCUAUUCGUUUAAGAUUUUCAUGUAUUAAUUACCUACUAAUUUCUUUGUCUUGUCUUCUAUUAACUUCCGUAAGUCUUUCCACUUUAGUCCGAAUUACUUGUGCGAAGUAUUACCCUAAAUCAGCUUAUUAAAUGCACAUAAAACACACCCAAAUAAUGAUAACUAAAUUGAUUGGAGGGGAAACAUAUGCGCUAAAGAUUGAUACACUUUUGGCUCAAAUCAAACAAUCGAAUGGAGUGAAAAUAAUCCGACACAUCAAAGCCCAAUCCAAUUGGAAAGGUUGCUGGCUGGGACUGUGCCUGGGCCUGCCAUAAAUUUUAUUUAUUUAUGUAUGUUCCGUUUUGUUUUGUGCUUUCGCUUAUGCCGAAUACCAGACCAAAAUCGACCAUGAAUAUCAAUGGGGGAACUCAGUUCAGUUCAGUUCAGUUCAGUUCAGUUCAGUUCAGUGUGGUGUGUGCCGCCAUCGGCACGCGCCCAACUUCAUCCGAUACUGGGGGCUUAGUGCCUUGUGCUUGUGCCUCUGUGCCACUCGGUGGCCGUGCCAAGUGGGUAUUGAUAUUGUUUUUAUCAGCGUCUACGGACCUUCCUUCGAUUUCUUGGCCAGACGAGGGACAAGGACUGAGACCGGGACUGGGACAGGACCUGGCCGCGGGCCUUAAGCACUUGUGCUCCUGAUGCGUAUUUAAUUUUAUUUUAUUUGGGAUUUUACUUUGCUUUACUGCCGAGAAUGCCAAGGGAAGUAAAUCACGGCAGUAUUCCUACCCCCCGCCCGCGACGGUGUUGCUUGAACGGUAGCAAAGUGGCACUUUUGGGGUUGCUGCCGCUGCUGCUGCUAUCCAUUUACUAUGGAUUGCCCCUGGCCGAUACUGAUGGACUAUGACUAGGACUCGAGGACAUAGCAAAAAUACAACAAAAAAAGGAGAAACAUACGAGGGGCGUCCGUGUGGCGCAUAUGUGUGCAUUUUUCCGGCUUACACUUGUCCCACGGAUAGAAGAUAGCUACAAGGGAAAACUGAUUGCUCUUUCUGUGUCGAGUGUCGAGUAUCGAGUGUUGAUUGUUCGGCAUUGGCUAUAUAUAGCAGCGGAGAUUGAUAGGAGGCAGCAGCAACUUCUUUCGUAUUAAAUUCAUGAAAGUUAAGUGCUUUGUAAUUGAUCUUAUAAAAUAUUUAUGACAGACAGGCCCCGGGCCCCGGUCCCCGCCAGUUACCUGCCGUUCUGUGUAUUCCGAUUCCAAAUGAUUCCCGCACUCGUACCUUUUUCCACUGAUGGGGCCAAAGUUAGAUUUUCCACCUAAUUGACAUUAAUUAUUUAAAAGGACGUCAUGCGAAUCUUUCGACCAAAGUGUUUCUGCUGCCAGCCCUUGCCCCUGUCCCAGUCCCUGGCCCUGCCCCUCUGCGGUAAAGUAAAGUGUUGGGCCUCUGGCUACCAGUCGCUCAAUUUAAAGUAAUCCCCGUAAGGAGAAUGUGCCAAGAGAUUCUCGGCACUGUUUGUUGUCUGCCCCCUUGGCUUGGCCCCUCUUGACCACCCCCUGGCCAGACGCUACUCAGGACAUUGACUUGACGUACUUGACCAGACGCCCAGGACCAGCACAAAAACACCCAAAGCAAAAGCCCAAAACUGAUAAUGAUGCUGUUGGCGACUUUGUGUUUACUUAUGCCCAGUGGCCUUCAGCAGAGUGAGCCUGCCCUGCCCCUUCCCUGGCUUUGAUGUUUCCCUGGAAUGAUGAAUUAUAUUUGACAACUAUGGGCUUUGGGCCUCAGUCUCGACGCAGAACAGGCUGCUACUCCUGCACAAAGACACGCACCCAUGCACCCAUUCUCGUUCCCAUUCCCAUGCUUUCCUCAUAUGUUACGUUGGCAGAGCAAGAGCAGGACUUGGGAUAUGUUUAUUUUACUGUCAAAACAUUAAAGUAAACUCUCGGUGCAGUGAAGCACCCCAAAAACAGGGUUGAUUCUUAUCGAGGGGCGGUGUCGACAGCCGAGCGCCGUGUGCUCCGUCAACUUGCCACUUGGAGUGUGCGCGAGGCGAGGGUGGAAUUAUUGAAAUAUAUAUCUGCAGCACGGUGUCACGCGGUGGUCUACUGGCUUUACCUUCAAAGCACAGCAGCCACAGCUCGCCACAGCUCGCCCCAGCAGCAGCAGCAGACAAGUGUAGGUACAUUUGCAUAUGUUGACGGCAUAUUCUAACAGAUCCUGCCGGGAUUUCCUGCUUAGCGUGGCACAGGCACCAGUGCCACCCUUGGUCUGCACCACAUACGAGUCCUUCUCGGGUCACAUGCCUUUUUGACAACUCAUAACAAUCACUCAUCAUAAACAAAGUCCGGCGCUAGCCUCGAGCUGCCUCCUGGACAGACUAGAGCCACAGCUGAUGAUGGGCGCUCCCGCCUGGGACUUGCUUUUAUGGCUAGAAAAAAAAUUAAUAGACCACUCUUGAAUGGCCUGGACUGGCAGGUGAAUAACUCACUCUGGGUUUUACAUAGUUUCUGAUUUAAUGUCUGAACCAAUUAGUUAAUUAUCGAGCUCCAGCUGGGAUAAUUAUCGCCUUAUCCUUUGAUUCCUACUGCUGCCAGCAGAAGGGUCUCUGGGUCUCUGGGUAUCUGGUCUUGGGUCCGUCUUGAAGCCAAACGUCUUUCGGUCAAUUAAAACAAUCCACAAAAUAAUUGCCAAGAAAUUUAUUCGCUUCAUUAACUUGUUAAAGGACGUCGGACAUGAAAGUUAAGCACAAAGUCAGCCGCAUCAAUUCAGCCAGAAAAUUAAGUGAAAUAAUUAAAUCUCAAUCGGGAUCUAUUAGAUUUGUGUUGAUGUUGAUGUUGAUGUUGGCUUUGCCUUUGGCUUUGGUCCAUGGCCCUUGUCAGUGCCCGAGUGAGCAGAGGGAUGAACACAGAUAAAUUUUGGCAGGACGGCAGCUAAUCUCCCACCGACUGGCCCAGCAAGGGGUUAACGAGCGCCGCCAUCCGACGAUGGGGUUGGAAAAUGUGUUAUAUAUUCGAAAAUGCAACAAUCGCAAGGCAAGGCGUUGAUGGAGGGGUGUGGGCACUAGACACAGACACUGACACCAACCAUUUAUCACCCACGCAGCAUCUUUCAUAAUCAGACCAACCGACCGACCCCGACCGGCAGUAGGCAAAAAUGCAAAUGACUCAGCCCCAGUGUCGGUUGGGAGCUGCAUAAAGGACGACCGCGCUGGUCGGCUUUUAAUUUACAGCGUCCUCCGGCACAUGCACCACUCACAUCGAAUGGGGGUCCACCAAUACCAAAUGGGGUCUGGACAGGGCCAACCGAGACAUGGGGCAAGAGAGCCGCCAUGCCGCCAUCGCGCGGUUUUGCCUUCUCUUCUUCCACAAUGAUGCCAGACAAAAGGUCGACACGUUCCCAUUCCGAGCGGCUUAAUUAAUUUAUGCACUCAUGGUCGGUCGCAAUGCAUCGAGUAGGAACAUUGACUCUGGGACUCGGGACUCGGGACUCUGGACUGCGCAGGAGGGAUGCGAUGCGAUGCGAAUGGGAAUGGGGGAUACGGAUGGAUCGAGACUUCCAGUUUAGUUCGACUUAAGCUAUAGGAGGACAUCAUUUCUUGGCUCUUCUUGAAAACCCGCCUAAUUUUAAAAUUAAUGAGCGGCAUCUUGAUGGCCGAUGGAAGCGAUAAGCCCCAUGAUUUUGACUGUCACACACACAGCUACAGAUAGAGGCUCUUCCUCUGCCCUUACCCUUGAUCACAGCUUGAGUAAAUCACGUGUUUAUUGGCACUUCACUUACGACACCGUCGCAUCGUCCCCAAAGUACGAGAAUAAGGUGAAAAAAAACGAAAACUAAAAUGGCAUCACUCCAUAGGGGACCUCUAUAGUGCCUUUCCGACUGCCCUGAACUGCCCUGGACUGAUCGAGUGAGUGGGAACGGGGGGGGAAACCAACUGAGCAACGUCAUUAAUUAGCUGGGAGAACUGAAGUGUGGGGACCGUAUGGUAUGGAACCGACGUGUUUAUUUGCUGUGUGUGCCCGUUCAACAUCUCCAAUGCAUUUGGGGCCUUCAUUUAGGAGUUCUUUUGUUUUGAAAUGUAUGCCGCAAAGCACCGCAUCGUACAGGCAUGUCCGUGAAAAUCGUGCCAUGCCACAGUCGACAUUUCGACCAAGUUCGAUACCAGCACAGAUCUGUUGCAAUAUGUAGGAAAUACUAUCAGAUAAAUCCCAUCAAAAAUGGCAUAGUAAAUCAUAUAAUAAAUGAAACUUUCCUAGGAAAAAUGUGUAUUAAAAUUUAAAUCGUUCAAUUAUUAGACUCAAGCUUUCCCUUCCAAGACCUGCAUUCCGAAAGAUCUUUUGUAUGGCUGAAAUUCUCAUUAAAAGCAUGUACAUCAGUGCUACCUAUAUUUCGUUCCUCGACUGUCUUCAUCUGACUGUGUCAUUUAUUUUGUUUGACCGGAAACUCUUUAUCUUACGGUUAAUCUUCUUGAUAUUUCAGAUGUGGAAAAGCCAAAAGGCCGAUGCGUUCUUAAUUCCAACAUUAAGACAAAAAUGGAAAGAAAAAAAAACUCUUGGCUUUGGUAUGAAAUUGAUUCAUUCAUUUUCAAUCCAUUGAGUCAGAUUCUUAUCCGAUGGAUGAGUCGGAGCCGGUCCAGCACCCAGCUUCAGCACUUUCAAUAGUAUGCAUCCAACAUCCAACAUCCAACAGGUAGUCAAAGCAGACAGACUGUCUCCACUGGGCCCCGCCAGACGAUAUGUCUUCUCGUAUGAGAGAAGUAGGAGUAGGAGGUAAGUAUAUUUGUAAGUAUAUUUAAAACAAGAAACUUGCAACGCUGAAAAGUGCAAUUUAGUGGCGUGUAUUGUCAGUUAAAAUACACUUUGGAUAAUUGUUUGAUUGAAUAUAUUGACUAUUUCAGAUUGCCAACUGACGCGUCAUCAAUAAAGGAAUGUUCUGGUUUCGAAAUGGUUUGAGUAUGAAUUUGAGACUACUUUUUUCUGAGCAUAUCACUAAUUCGUUCUUUCAAUUUCAGAGUGUGUGGAACUGUUCCGAGCACAGGAGAUGGAUGGAUGGAUUGAUCGAGAAUAAACCCUAUUUAGUAAAAUAAUAGACUAAGAGACGCAGUUGAAUAUUUGGAAUAUUUCUAGUCGUGAUUGGCAAUACGAACUUUACUCUAUAAGAAAAAGACAUGCACCAAUAUUUUUUAUAAAGAUAUAUGAAGAUUAUAAUUAUUUACAUGUACAUACAUAUGUGCAGAAUGAAAUUUCC
rnacentral:lncRNA from 1 species